GACGAACGCUGGCGGCGUGCCUAAUACAUGCAAGUAGAACGCUGAAGGAGGAGCUUGCUUCUCUGGAUGAGUUGCGAUCGGGUGAGUAACGCGUAGGUAACCUGCCUGGUAGCGGGGGAUAACUAUUGGAAACGAUAGCUAAUACCGCAUAACAGUAGAUAUCGCAUGAUAUCUACUUGAAAGGUGCAAUUGCAUCACUACCAGAUGGACCUGCGUUGUAUUAGCUAGUUGGUGAGGUAACGGCUCACCAAGGCGACGAUACAUAGCCGACCUGAGAGGGUGAUCGGCCACACUGGGACUGAGACACGGCCCAGACUCCUACGGGAGGCAGCAGUAGGGAAUCUUCGGCAAUGGACGGAAGUCUGACCGAGCAACGCCGCGUGAGUGAAGAAGGUUUUCGGAUCGUAAAGCUCUGUUGUAAGAGAAGAACGAGUGUGAGAGUGGAAAGUUCACACUGUGACGGUAUCUUACCAGAAAGGGACGGCCAACUACGUG
rnacentral:rRNA from 1 species